AUUGAACGCUGGCGGCAGGCCUAACACAUGCAAGUCGAACGAGUGGCGGACGGGUGAGUAAUGUCUGGGAAACUGCCUGAUGGAGGGGGAUAACUACUGGAAACGUUAGCUAAUACCGCAUACCAUCGGAUGUGCCCAGAUGGGAUUAUCUAGUGGGGGGGGUAAAGGCUCACCAAGGCGACGAUCCCUAGCUGGUCUGAGAGGAUGACCAGCCACACUGGGACUGAGAAACGGUCCAGACUCCUCAGGGAGGAAGCAGUGGGGAAUAUUGCACAAUGGGAGAAAGCCUGAUGAAGACAUGCCGCGUGGGUGAAGAAGGCCUUCGGGUUGUAAAGCACUUUCAGCGGGGAGGCGUUACUCGAAGAGAAAGCACCGGCUAACUCCGUGCCAGCAGCCGCGGUAAUAC
rnacentral:rRNA from 1 species